GACGUAGGGAGCAAGCGUUGUCCGGAUUUAUUGGGCGUAAAGGGCUCCUAGGUGGUUCAGUAAGUCGACUGUGAAAAUCCAAGGCUCAACCUUGGGACGCCAGUCGAUACUGCUGUGACUUGAGUUCGGUAGAGGAGUGUGGAAUUUCUGGUGUAGCGGUGAAAUGCGCAGAUAUCAGAAGGAACACCAACGGCGAAGGCAGCACUCUGGGCCGAUACUGACACUGAAGAGCGAAAGCGUGGGGAGCAAACAGG
rnacentral:rRNA from 1 species